rnacentral:rRNA from 1 species
UACGGGGGGGGCAAGCGUUGUUCGGAAUUACUGGGCGUAAAGGGUUCGUAGGUGGCCUACUAAGUCAGACGUGAAAUCCCUCAGCUUAACUGGGGAACUGCGUCUGAUACUGGCGGACUUGAGGACAGGAGAGGAACGCGGAAUUCCAGGUGUAGCGGUGAAAUGCGUAGAUAUCUGGAGGAACACCGGUGGCGAAGGCGGCGUUCUGGACUGUUUCUGACACUGAAAAACGAAAGCCAGGGGAGCAAACGGG